rnacentral:rRNA from 1 species
GAUGAUCCGCCACACUGGGACUGAGACACGGCCCAGACUCCUACGGGAGGCAGCAGUGGGGAAUAUUGGACAAUGGGGGGAACCCUGAUCCAGCCAUGCCGCGUGUGUGAAGAAGGCCUUUUGGUUGUAAAGCACUUUAAGCGAGGAGGAGGCUACCUAGAUUAAUACUUUAGGAUAGUGGACGUUACUCGCAGAAUAAGCACCGGCUAACUCUGUGCCAGCAGCCGCGGUAAUACAGAGGGUGCGAGCGUUAAUCGGAUUUACUGGGCGUAAAGCGUGCGUAGGCGGCCAAUUAAGUCAAAUGUGAAAUCCCCGAGCUUAACUUGGGAAUUGCAUUCGAUACUGGUUGGCUAGAGUAUGGGAGAGGAUGGUAGAAUUCCAGGUGUAGCGGUGAAAUGCGUAGAGAUCUGGAGGAAUACCGAUGGCGAAGGCAGCCAUCUGGCCUAAUACUGACGCUGAGGUACGAAAGCAUGGGGAGCAAACAGGAUUAGAUACCCUGGUAGUCCAUGCCGUAAACGAUGUCUACUAGCCGUUGGGGCCCUUGAGGCUUUAGUGGCGCAGCUAACGCGAUAAGUAGACCGCCUGGGGAGUACGGUCGCAAGACUAAAACUCAAAUGAAUUGACGGGGGCCCGCACAAGCGGUGGAGCAUGUGGUUUAAUUCGAUGCAACGCGAAGAACCUUACCUGGCCUUGACAUACA